rfam:Lingula anatina scaffold664, whole genome shotgun sequence.
GGCUCCGUGGCGCAAUGGAUUAGCGCGUCGGACUUCUAAAGGAGAUAAGUUAUUCGGAGGCUGUGGGUUCGAGUCCCACCGGAGUCG